GAGGGGCCCGCGCCUGAUUAGCUAGUUGGUGAGGUAACGGCUCACCAAGGCGUCGAUCAGUAUCCGGCCUGAGAGGGCGGACGGACACACUGACACUGAGACACGGGUCAGACUCCUACGGGAGGCAGCAGUUAGGAAUUUUGGGCAAUGGGCGAAAGCCUGACCCAGCAACGCCGCGUGGGUGACGAAGGCCCUCGGGUCGUAAAGCCCUUUUCCCAGGGACGAUGGUGACGGUACCUGGGGAAUCAGCCCCGGCUAACUACGUGCCAGCAGCCGCGGUAAUACGUAGGGGGCAAGCGUUGUCCGGAUUUAUUGGGCGUAAAGCGCUCGCAGGUGGUUCGGCGCGUCGUGCGUGAAAGACCCCGGCUCAACUGGGGGCUGUCGUGCGAUACGGUCGGACUGGAGGCCAGUAGGGGGAUGCGGAAUUCCGGGUGUAGUGGUGGAAUGCGUAGAGAUCCGGAGGAACACCAGCGGCGAAGGCGGCAUCCUGGACUGGUCCUGACACUCAGGAGCGAAAGCGUGGGGAGCGAUCCGGAUUAGAUACCCGGGUAGUCCACGCCGUAAACGAUGCGCACUAGGUGU
rnacentral:rRNA from 1 species